UGGUUGCAAAGCUGAAACUUAAAGGAAUUGACGGAGGGCACCACCAGGAGUGGAGCCUGCGGCUUAAUUGACUCAACACGGGAACCUCACCGGCCCGGACACGGACAGGAUUGACAGAUUGAUAGCUCUUUCUCGAUUCCGUGGGUGGUGGUGCAUGGCCGUUCUUAGUUGGUGGAGCGAUUUGUCUGGUUAAUUCCGAUAACGAACGAGACUCUGGCAUGCUAACUAGUUACGCGACCCCCGAGCGGUCGGCGUCCCCCAACUUCUUAGAGGGACAAGUGGCGUUCAGCCACCCGAGAUUGAGCAAUAACAGGUCUGUGAUGCCCUUAGAUGUCCGGGGCUGCACGCGCGCUACACUGACUGGCUCAGCGUGUGCCUACCCUACGCCGGCAGGCGCGGGUAACCCGUUGAACCCCAUUCGUGAUGGGGAUCGGGGAUUGCAAUUAUUCCCCAUGAACGAGGAAUUCCCAGUAAGUGCGGGUCAUAAGCUUGCGUUGAUUAAGUCCCUGCCCUUUGUACACACCGCCCGUCGCUACUACCGAUUGGAUGGUUUAGUGAGGCCCUCGGAUCGGCCCCGCCGGGGUCGGCCCACGGCCCUGGCGGAGCGCUGAGAAGACGGUCGAACUUGACUAUCUAGAGGAAGUAAAAGUCGUAACAAGGUUUCCGUAGGUGAACCUGCGGAAGGAUCAUUAACGCGGUCGGUUCCGAGAGCGGCGCGGGGGCCUCGCCCCGCCCCGCGCCCGGCUCGCGAGCCUCUCCUCCGCCCGUGCGGCGCGGGAUGGGACCGGGAGGAGGGGAGAGGGGGAGAGCGAGACGCGUCCGGAGGGCGCCCCGCCCCCCACGGGCGGCCGGGGGCCGGUCGGGGGCUACUCCCCGGUGUGUCUGGGGGGCGAGGAGCCGCGCGAGAGAGGUGGGGGGGCGGCGUGGCAGAGUUGUGGGGAUAUCGGGUGGGAAGAGGCGGGUUCUCCUCCGCCUGCUUGCCCGCCCGCGCCCCUCCUCCCGCCGCCGGCCCCUCCGCGCCUCCGUUCCCCCCCCACCCGGCCGGGGGCGCCCCGCCACCCUGCCCCGUCGCCCGGUGGCGUCGCCCUCCGGCGUGCGUCCCCUCUUCCCGAUAGCCCGGCCCUCCCCGCCACGUCCCUCGAGGUUGGCCCCGAGGGUUCGGGGGUGGGGUGGUGAGGGGGUUGGCUCCGCAAGCUCCCCACGCCCCCACCCCACCCCACGCGCCUUUCGCCCCGUGGCGCCGGCCACGACUGCCUCCCCCCACAAAGGCCGCGGAUCCGCGCGGCGCGGAUCCUCCGGUCGCGUCUGGCGGGCUGUGCGGCGUGGCGGGCGGCGGCUCCCCGUCGCGGGGCCGCUUGCCUUGCCCCGCCGCCUCCCGUCGCCGGCCCUGGGCCGGUCUGCCUCGGCCGGUCGCCGGCCGGCCGUCCGUCUGCCGCUCUGGGCCUGCCGCGCCGGUCGCCAGGCGCCUCGCCUCCCCACGCCUUCCGAGCCUCGGGGCUUUCUCCCGCCCCGUCCCCCACCCCCCACGCCUCCCGCGGCCGUCUGUCCGGUUCUCCCGCCCUGUUUUCGCCUCUCCCGUACCUCUGACGCGUGUCCCCUGCCCGCUUGGCGCCCAGCUCCCCGUCGGAGCCCCUUCCCUCCGCCCUCGGUGGUGGUGUGUGGGGGGGGGGGGGGGGGGGGUGGUAGGGGGCGCGCGGUGCGUCCGUCGCCCGUUCGGGCUUCGGCGCCCGUGCGUGCCCCGACCCGCCCCCUCCCCAACCCGGGCCGCCUCUCCGCCGGUCCCCGCCCCGUCCGUCCCGUGACCGCCGGCUCGUGCUCCCCGUCCCGCCCCGCCUCGGUGUCUCCCUCUCUGUCCGCCGCCCGCGGCCGCCGCCGCCCCCGCCCCCGCCGCCGCCGCCUCCUCCUCCCGGAGGGGGCGACGGGUGGUAGGCGGUGGUCGGUAGGGGUGUGCUGUGUUGGUGCGCGGGCAAGGGGGGGCGGCCCGGGGCGGUCGGCCGCGGGUCUCUCUGUCCCCUUCUCGGGACCCUCCUCGCGGGUGCCCCCGCUGCGCGCGCGCGCGCGCGCGCCCUCCGAGACGCGACCUCAGAUCAGACGUGGCGACCCGCUGAAUUUAAGCAUAUUAGUCAGCGGAGGAAAAGAAACUAACCAGGAUUCCCUCAGUAACGGCGAGUGAACAGGGAAGAGCCCAGCGCCGAAUCCCCGCCCCGCGGUGGGGCGCGGGACAUGUGGCGUACGGAAGACCCACUCCCCGGCGCCGCUCGUGGGGGG
ensembl:lncRNA